CGGCAGUUAGAAGAUGAAGGUAGGUUCAGGGAGGAGGAGGAAUAAGUAUAGAUGGAGGAGGAGAGGAGUGGCGAACGGGUGAGUAACACGUGGGUAACCUGCCCAUCAUAAGGGGAUAACACUUGGAAACAGGUGCUAAUACCGUAUAACAAUCGAAACCGCAUGGUUUUGAUUUGAAAGGCGCUUUCGGGUGUCGCUGAUGGAUGGACCCGCGGUGCAUUAGCUAGUUGGUGAGGUAACGGCUCACCAAGGCCACGAUGCAUAGCCGACCUGAGAGGGUGAUCGGCCACAUUGGGACUGAGACACGGCCCAAACUCCUACGGGAGGCAGCAGUAGGGAAUCUUCGGCAAUGGACGAAAGUCUGACCGAGCAACGCCGCGUGAGUGAAGAAGGUUUUCGGAUCGUAAAACUCUGUUGUUAGAGAAGAACAAGGAUGAGAGUAACUGUUCAUCCCUUGACGGUAUCUAACCAGAAAGCCACGGCUAACUACGUGCCAGCAGCCGCGGUAAUACGUAGGUGGCAAGCGUUGUCCGGAUUUAUUGGGCGUAAAGCGAGCGCAGGCGGUUUCUUAAGUCUGAUGUGAAAGCCCCCGGCUCAACCGGGGAGGGUCAUUGGAAACUGGGAGACUUGAGUGCAGAAGAGGAGAGUGGAAUUCCAUGUGUAGCGGUGAAAUGCGUAGAUAUAUGGAGGAACACCAGUGGCGAAGGCGGCUCUCUGGUCUGUAACUGACGCUGAGGCUCGAAAGCGUGGGGAGCAAACAGGAUUAGAUACCCUGGUAGUCCACGCCGUAAACGAUGAGUGCUAAGUGUUGGAGGGUUUCCGCCCUUCAGUGCUGCAGCUAACGCAUUAAGCACUCCGCCUGGGGAGUACGACCGCAAGGUUGAAACUCAAAGGAAUUGACGGGCGCCCGCACAAGCGGUGGAGCAUGUGGUUUAAUUCUAAGCAACGCAAAAAACCUUACCAGGUCUUGACAUCCUUUGACCACUCUAGAGAUAGAGCUUCCCCUUCGGGAGCCAAAGUGACAGGUGGUGCCUGGGUUGUCAUCCACCUCGUGUCCGAGAUAAUGUUUGUGUUAAAGUCCCGCAACCGAGCGCCACCCCUAAUUGUUAACUGCCCUGCAUUAGGGUGGAGCACUCGAAAAAGACUGCCGUUGAACAAACCAGAAGAAGAAGAGGAGCAUGACCUCAGAUGAUUAGAGCCCCUCUAUCACCCGGAGCAACAGGAGGAGCAGACAUCCCCAAUUACAAGAGGAUUGACGGAAGCCUGCGAGGUUGAAGACGAUCCCCCAACAGGUUACCAAUCUAAUUCGAAUUGACUGGGCUAGCCAUUCACACGGAGCCAAGUACGAAUAACGCUUGAUUAACCAACCAGACACCGAUCCCGUUAUAAAGAAUAGGAUCCAAUGGAAUUACCGUAGCACGCGAUCCCUAGCACCUCAAGCCAGGUUGAAAAGGCCAGGGAACUCCAUGCAAUGGAAAUUCCCUUUGGUCAAUGUUCACCGCCCUGGUGUGGGGAGAGACGGCAGAGGCCAAGGGGCCGACCCCACUUUAAA
rnacentral:rRNA from 1 species